rnacentral:rRNA from 1 species
GAUUAUUGGGCGUAAGGGCUCGCAGGCGGUUUCUUAAGUCUGAUGUGAAAGCCCCCGGCUCAACCGGGGAGGGUCAUUGGAAACUGGGAAACUUGAGUGCAGAAGAGGAGAGUGGAAUUCCACGUGUAGCGGUGAAAUGCGUAGAGAUGUGGAGGAACACCAGUGGCGAAGGCGACUCUCUGGUCUGUAACUGACGCUGAGGAGCGAAAGCGUGGGGAGCGAACAGGAUUAGAUACCCUGGUAGUCCACGCCGUAAACGAUGAGUGCUAAGUGUUAGGGGGUUUCCGCCCCUUAGUGCUGCAGCUAACGCAUUAAGCACUCCGCCUGGGGAGUACGGUCGCAAGACUGAAACUCAAAGGAAUUGACGGGGGCCCGCACAAGCGGUGGAGCAUGUGGUUUAAUUCGAAGCAACGCGAAGAACCUUACCAGGUCUUGACAUCCUCUGACAACCCU